GGUCCUAUAGUGUAGUGGUUAUCACAGCGGAUUCUGAUGUUUGUUAAAUGUGAAUGUCAGCAUUCCGCUAACGCAGGUUCGAGUCCUGCUAGGACCU
rfam:Schizophyllum commune H4-8 unplaced genomic scaffold SCHCOscaffold_10, whole genome shotgun sequence.